UCUUCCUAAUCAUAUAUUCAGGUAAAAAUAAAGAUGCAAUCUUAAACAUUUUCUAAUGAUCCAUAAUAACAAAGCAGAGAGAAGCUGAUGAUGCAGGAUACUGAAGAUGUUUGAGAAAAAAUGAGCUUAAACCAUCUAUAGAUUAUGCAAAAUAAAGAAGCUAUAGCUACUUCAAAACCUCAACAUAUAUGAAUACAAAAAAGAGUGUGUAUCCUGUAGCUGAAGAUGAAUUAGAACACGGAGAAAUAAGGACUAAAGCUUCUAAAUUGAAAACAUUCAUAGUAACCUUAUGAACACUUAGCGUCAAUUUUAACUUAAAACAUGAUUAUAUAACAAGUAUUAUGACAAGACAUGAUGAAGCUCUCUGACCUUUUGCUUAUUUUUGUACUCUUCCCAGGUGAUAGUGUGGGUAGUCUUGAGACUAGCCAAACGAGCCGCAUGCCACUCUGGUGUAUGAAAUGAACCAUCCACCUGAGACACUCCUCAUCAGAAACGUUCCAAGUACAGACACAACAAAUCAUCAUCAAGCCGAAUAAAAACAAAACCAAAUUGUAAUAGGAGACACAUGAACCACUCAGACACAAACCUCAAUGCUACACUCUAAAAGAAACUACAAAUCAACUUCAAUUUUCCUCAAGACACGAACAUAUAUAUCAAUGUAAAUUGUCCUAAGAGGUUCGAUUACAAAUUGUUCCCCUGAAACUGAGACUCUAAAUUGGAUUAUCUUGAGGAGACGUGACGAUUAAGAAAGGAGUAUGAAAGGGUACAAACCAUUCCAUCUUCAACCUCAUCAGGCUGAGCUGAGGCGGAGCCAACCCUGGAUCUCUGCAUAGCCUUGUACGCUUGAUUCUUCCCCAUUGCUUACCAGAGAGAGAGAAAAAAAGUCCGAAACUUUCUUUCAGGGAGGAGGAGAGAGAUUGAGGAUUAACGGUCUAAAGGAGAGGCUCUGUUAGAGAAGGCGAGAGCCAGAGAGAGAGAUAGAGAAGAAAGACGACAACUUUGAGAAGCUGAACCGAAAACGCUCUUGGAAUUUAAUUUUACGCCCAAAUUGAAAUUUAGUUAAUAAUAAAAGGACCAAUUUGUAAAUAUUGUUUAUAUAUACUAAAUAGUUUUGAAAAUAACAAUAAACCCCGUUUACU